rnacentral:rRNA from 1 species
GCAGUUAAGCCCGCCAGAGCCGAUGGUAUUGCCGUAACAGGCGUGAGAGUAGGUCGGUGCCGGAU